GGUUAAACAAGACCAAGAGCCUUCAAAGCCCUCAGUAAGUAAAAACACUUAAUUUCUG
rnacentral:tRNA from 1 species